rnacentral:rRNA from 1 species
UACGGGGGGGGCAAGCGUUGUUCGGAAUUACUGGGCGUAAAGGGCUCGUAGGCGGCCAACUAAGUCGGACGUGAAAUCCCUCGGCUCAACCGGGGAACUGCGUCCGAUACUGGAUGGCUCGAGUUCGGGAGAGGGAUGCGGAAUUCCAGGUGUAGCGGUGAAAUGCGUAGAUAUCAGGAGGAACACCGAUGGCGAAGGCAGGUCACUGGGCCGCAACUGACGCUGAGGAGCGAAAGCAUGGGGAGCGAACAGG